rnacentral:rRNA from 1 species
UGGGGAAUUUUGCGCAAUGGGCGAAAGCCUGACGCAGCAACGCCGCGUGGGUGAUGAAGGUCUUCGGAUCGUAAAACCCUGUCGUCAGGGACGAAGGUCGUGGGGUGAACAGCCCUAUGGCUUGACGGUACCUGGAGAGGAAGCCCCGGCUAACUCUGUGCCAGCAGCCGCGGUAAUACAGAGGGGGCAAGCGUUAUUCGGAAUUAUUGGGCGUAAAGGGCGCGUAGGCGGUGUUUUAAGUGGGAGGUGCAAUCCCCGGGCUUAACCUGGGAACUGCAUCCCAGACGGGAACGCUGGAGUACUGGAGAGGGUGGUGGAAUUCCACGUGUAGCGGUGAAAUGCGUAGAGAUGUGGAGGAACACCAGUGGCGAAGGCGGCCACCUGGACAGUAACUGACGCUGAGGCGCGAAAGUGUGGGUAGCAAACA